rnacentral:tRNA from 1 species
GGCUGGGUAGCUCAGUUGGUUAGAGCGGAAGAUUCAUAUCCUUCAGGUCGACAGUUCGAAUCUGUCUCCAGCCACCA